rnacentral:lncRNA from 1 species
CUGAUUGAUUCCUCCCCAUCGCGAUCCAACUGGGGCGGCGGCGGCUGGAUUCAUCUCUCUCCUCACCUUUGGAUGCUUGGUUGCCUGAUUGGUUGGAUGGCCGUGAGAUGUGGGACCUAGGGACGUUCUUCCUUCCUAGCCAUUUUGGGAAAUUCAGGCCUCCGCCACAGCAAUCAUCACCGCAUCAUCCAUUGUUGUCGCCAGGAAUUAUAAGUUAUCGUCUUAGCACUUGUUCUCCUUUCAAUGUUCAUGUUCUCUUCCAGAUGAUAAUCAUAUAAUAUGGGGUUGUUAAGAAGAAAAAGAAGAAGAAGAAAACCAUCGCGUUUCAUGAUUUUGUAAUACAUACUACUGCCAUCUCUCACAGCUAGUCACUCGGUGGGCUGGAAAUGGAGGGAGUAGCUGGGUGGCUGGUGGUGACCCAGCUCCCCUCAAUCAAGCUCUCCUGGUGGUGGAGGCGAUGAUUGACAAGCAUCGGCACGGCACGGCAGCCUUGAUGCUGGCUUCUUGGAUUCUGCAAUCCUGGACGGAAUGACGGACGGAUGAAAUCUCCCUCGUCCCAUUUUUUUUAAACCCAGAAAAAGGGUGGAGUGAGGAAAAGACGGACCGAAUCUUGGAAACGAGAACCAAAUCAUCUCCGCGUUGGUGCGGUGGUCUGCGGAACCAAUCAUCUCCCUCGCUCUGUUCGUCUGAAUCGUCUUGCUGUGUGCCAGAAGCCGAGAACGGAUGGUCGCCAGGUAAAGCACACUCCCUCGCGACGAGAGCUGAUCACCGAUGGCUGGGCUGAUGAUGUUUACUCUUUUUUUAUGGCUCUGCCGUUUGCUUCUUUUGGGCCUGCGAUUGCGAGACAGCGAGAGGCGCCGCCGC